rnacentral:rRNA from 1 species
GACAGAGGGUGCAACGUUGUCCGGAAUCAUUGGGCGUAAAGGGCGCGUAGGUGCCCGGUCAGUCUUGGUGAAGCCGCGGGCUCAACCCUGGGAUGCCGGUCGAUACUGCCGGACUAGAGUUGGAAGAGGCGAGUGGAAUUCCCGGUGUAGCGGUGAAAUGCGCAGAUAUCGGGAGGAACACCAAUGGCCGAAGGCAGCUCGGCUGGGCGUUACUGACGCUGAG